ACUCAAAUGAAUUGACGGGGGCCCGCACAAGCGGUGGAGUAUGUGGUUUAAUUCGACGCAACGCGAAGAACCUUACCAGGGCUCAAACUGCAGGGUAAACCUCUCGAAAGGGAGGCUGCUUCGGCGAUCCUGUAGAGGUGCUGCAUGGCUGUCGUCAGCUCGUGUCGUGAGAUGUUGGGUUAAGUCCCGCAACGAGCGCAACCCUUGUUCUUAGUUACCAGCGCGUAAUGGCGGGGACUCUAAGAAGACUGCCGUCGCAAGACGGAGGAAGGUGGGGAUGACGUCAAGUCCUCAUGGCCCUUAUGUCCUGGGCUACACACGUACUACAAUGGGCGGUACAACGAGUCGCGAGGCCGCGAGGUCAAGCUAAUCUCUUAAAGCCGCCCCCAGUUCAGAUUGCAGUCUGCAACCCGACUGCAUGAAGUCGGAAUCGCUAGUAAUCGCAGAUCAGCACGCUGCGGUGAAUACGUUCCCGGGCCUUGUACACACCGCCCGU
rnacentral:rRNA from 1 species